rnacentral:sRNA from 1 species
AUGCAAUUUCAGCAGAUCGUCGUCGAACUAGACCUUGCCACGAAUUGGAAACGACUCCUCUCACUCCCAUGAGAAAUAUUCAGUCCAUCCAACUUCUUAGUUGUGAUGUCUUCGAGAUCAUUACCAUACAGGACAACAACGAAUUUAGGUCCAUCUAACCUCUUAGUUGCUACGUCUUCGAGCUCAUCACCAUACAGGAUGCCACACACGUGUGCAUGGGAGCAUAUUCAAAGCACUUGCGGUUUUCAUCAAUUGUUGAGUCCCAACGACAACCUAUGAACACAACACUGCAUGUAUUGACCGUAUGAUAACAUGAUACAUCUAAGAAGUCAAGACCAUCAUACUGCAUCUACAUCUCAGCAGCAUGAGCAUUAGAAGAUUUAAGUCAAGCAAAUCCUAUUUGAAAACAACCUAGUUGACUUUUCACCAAAUCACUGCCAAAGUCUACUUUCUAGAAACUUGUCAAAGGUAAUGUAUGCGUAAAUUGUUUGAUUUGUAAUAUUUGUAGUUUUCAUUUGAAAGUUUUGUCAAACUCAGGAGGAGU